rnacentral:rRNA from 1 species
UACAGAGAGUGCAAACGUUGUUCGGAAUUACUGGGCUUGAAGCGCACGUAGGCGGCGUUGUAAGUGUCGGGUGAAAUCCCACGGCUCACCCGUGGAACUGCCCGGCAUACUGCGAUGCUAGAGUGUGGUAGGGGAGAGCGGAACUCCUGGUGGAGCGGUGAAAUGCGUAGAUAUCAGGAAGAACACCAAUGGCGAAGGCAGCUCUCUGGGACGGUACUGACGCUGAGACGCGAAAGCGUGGGGAGCGAACAGG